rnacentral:misc_RNA from 1 species
GAUGAAGAACGUAGCGAAAUGCGAUACUUGGUGUGAAUUGCAGAAUCCCGUGAACCAUCGAGUCUUUGAACGCAAGUUGCGCCUCAAGCCAUUAGGUUGAGGGCACGUCUGCCUGGGCGUCACAUAUGGUUGCCUGAUGCCAGUUUCCUCGUGAUGGGUGACUGUGCAGGGCGAAUGAUGGCUUCCCGUGAGCAUUGUUGCCUCAUGGUUGGUUGAAAAUUGAGUCCUUGGUAGGGAGCGCCGUGAUAGAUGGUGGUUGAGUGACGAACGAGACCCAAUCAUGUGAGACCCCUACCGAAUUUGGCCUUCAUGACCCACAUGCGUCUUUGGAACGCUCAUGACGAGACCUCAGGUCAGGCGGGGCUACCCGCUGAGUUUAAGCAUAUCAAUAAGCGGAGGA